rnacentral:piRNA from 1 species
UGCAAAGUGCUUGGCUCCUUUUAAUUGGUA